UGUACUUUUGAGAAACAGAAUGUGCUGUUGAUGUUAAGGAAGAGCCCAGAGAUGAAGUGGGUCCCAGUUAAUCUGUGAUAGGAACCUAGGCUCAAAUCCAAACUCUGCUUUUAUCAACUGAAGCAGUCCCUUGAUUUUCUUGGAUUUUGAAUGGAGAUCAUAGUGYGUGAGAGCUCUUGCCUUGAAAAGACUGCAUUAAAAAAUUCAAGUGACUCUACUGAAAUGGAGCAUGUGAGCAGCACGCGUGACUCUUCACCUCAUUGUACCUAAAAGCAGUGAUGCUCCAGUGAAAUGAAGGUUAUAUAAAACACAGGGAUAUCACAGGGAUAUGUACUGAUUUUCCUAGAUGGUAGACGUUUCCACUGCUGAGCAAGUCUGUGGGGCAGCCCUGAGCUCCCGAGGAUCCCCCAUGGCAAACCACUCUCCUGAAGUGCAUGCGCAGAGCCAGUGAAACCUGCAGUUAUACCUCCUCAUGUGAGAAAACAACUGUAUCUCAGCAGAGAGCCUGCAGUGGGUGGAUUCAUCAUACAAACAACAAGAGUGAGCAACGGGAACAUCUGUGAGUGCUGAAUUCAAAUGCUGAGGGUCUGGAAAACUUGGUGAGCAAGACUGUAUUUCAUGUGAUGUGAAAAUGUACCAAAGAGUAAUGGAACUCCAUAGGAAGCACAAGAUUGGUAGUAUGAGGGCUACUUACCCCUUAUGGCACCUGAAUUUCCUGGAUAGCUCAACUCAUCAUCAUGA
rnacentral:lncRNA from 1 species